rnacentral:rRNA from 1 species
CACAUAGUUAGCCGGUGCUUCUUCUGCAGGUACCGUCACUUACGCUUCGUCCCUGCUGAAAGAGGUUUACAACCCGAAGGCCGUCAUCCCUCACGCGGCGUCGCUGCAUCAGGCUUCCGCCCAUUGUGCAAUAUUCCCCACUGCCGCCUCCCGUAGGAGUCUGGGCCGUAUCUCAGUCCCAAUGUGGCCGAUCACCCUCUCAGGCCGGCUACCCGUCGUCGCCUUGGUAGGCCAUCACCCCACCAACAAGCUGAUAGGCCGCGGGCUCGAUCCUACACCGAAAAACUUUCCACCUAAACCCCAUAAGGAGAAAGGUCAUAUCCAGUAUUAGACCAGUUUCCCAGGCUUAUCCCAGAGUGCAGGGCAGACUUACCACGUGUUACUCACCGUUCGCCACUCGAGUACUCCAGCAAGCUGGAGUCCUUCGUGACUG